rnacentral:rRNA from 1 species
AUGAACGCUGGCGGCGUGCUUAACACAUGCUUUUUCGAGCGAAGUGCGGAAGAAGAUUUCUUCGGAAUGAUUUUUUCGUGACUGAGCGGCGGACGGGUGAGUAUUUCGUGGGGAACCUGCCUCAUACCGGGGGAUAACAGUUGGAAACGACUGCUAAUACCGCAUAAGCGCACAGUACCGCAUGGUACGGUGUGAAAAACUCCGGUGGUAUGAGAUGGACCCGCGUUGGAUUAGCCAGUUGGCGGGGUAACGGCCCACCAAAGCGACGAUCCAUAGCCGGCCUGAGAGGGCGACCGGCCACAUUGGGACUGAGACACGGCCCAGACUCCUGCGGGAGGCAGCAGUGGGGAAUAUUGCACAAUGGAGGAAACUCUGAUGCAGCGACGCCGCGUGAGUGAAGAAGUAUUUCGGUAUGUAAAGCUCUAUCAGCAGGGAAGAUAAUGACAGUACCUGACUAAGAAGCCCCGGCUAACUACGUGCCAGCAGCCGCGGUAAUACGUAGGGGGCAAGCGUUAUCCGGAUUUACCGGGUGUAAAGGGAGCGCAGACGGAAAGGCAAGUCUGAAGUGAAAUUCCCGCGGCCUAAACCGCGGCAAUUGCUUUUGGAAACUGUCAGUCUAGAGUACUGGAGGGGUAAGGGGAAUUCCUGGUGUAGCGGUGAAAUGCGUAGAUAUCAGGAAGAACACCAGAGGCGAAGGCGACUUACUGGACAGCAACUGACGUUGAGGCUCGAAAGCGUGGGUAGCAAACAGGAUUAGAUACCCUGGUAGUCCACGCAGUAAACGAUGAAUACUAGGUGUCGGCAGGCGAAGCCUGCCGGUGCCGCCGCAAACGCAUUAAGUAUUCCACCUGGGGAGUACGUUCGCAAGAAUGAAACUCAAAGGAAUUGACGGGGACCCGCACAAGCGGUGGAGCAUGUGGUUUAAUUCGAAGCAACGCGAAGAACCUUACCAAAUCUUGACAUCCCUCUGACCGGGACUUAACCGUCCCUUUCCUUCGGGACAGGGGAGACAGGUGGUGCAUGGUUGUCGUCAGCUCGUGUCGUGAGAUGUUGGGUUAAGUCCCGCAACGAGCGCAACCCUUAUCCCCAGUAGCCAGCAGGUAAAGCUGGGCACUCUGAGGAGACUGCCAGGGAGAACCUGGAGGAAGGCGGGGAUGACGUCAAAUCAUCAUGCCCCUUAUGAUUUGGGCUACACACGUGCUACAAUGGCGUGAACAGAGGGAAGCAGAGCCGCGAGGCCGAGCGAAUCUCAAAAAACGCGUCCCAGUUCGGACUGUAGUCUGCAACCCGACUACACGAAGCUGGAAUAGAUAGUAAUCGCAGAUCAGAAUGCUGCGGUGAAU